GUUGCAGUGGCUCAGUGGUUAAGGCUUUGAAUUGCAGAUCAGAAGGUUGUAUGUUCAAAUCCCAGUGCUGCAAUG